UACAAUAACAAACUGCUGCAUGUUUGGCAGGCUCAGAACAAAGAGGCAGCUGUCUGGAUUCCUGGGUCCUGCUCCUAACGCUGUCAUUUUAACAUCACCAAUAAGUCCUGUGAAGCUCAGGAAAAGUUUUGAAAGCGUUUUAAGGUUGAGAUCUGUAAAAGGUUUUAAGUUCAAGCGAGGGAUAAUGCAAUUCUCGUGAAAGACACAGGUUUUUAAUUCAAGAGUGUGAGUAUGUUUAUUGAGAACAGGUUGACAUACAGAUUUUUGUUUAAAAUAGCUGACACAUUUUCUCUUUUCUAACUGCUAUAAAGAACGCAUCAUGAAAUUAAGACACCUAUUAUUGUGUAGGCUUCCUGUUACUAAAUGAAGCCUGAUGUAUCUGACUGACAUAAUGUACUGAUGCAGUGCUGGGUUUGACAUGACUCUUUGGAGGAGUGGAACAAAAGUGCUCCUGAGGAAUGUCGAUUAACAUGGGCCUUUGACAUCUUGAAGUCUUUCAGUGCUUUUGAAGCAAGACUUCAAAGCGACGUGUCGGAUUCCUCUGUAUCUAAUGAUAGUGUUGACAUGUAACUGUGUUCCGCAAGUACUGGAAUCCAGAUGCUGUUCUAGCUUUUAUCUUGUUUCUAGCAAAGGAACCGAUCCACCAACCCCAACAGAAUGCCCUCCAACAAGUACUUGAAAUGGCAAUACCCGCACUUGGCCAAACAGAACAGGGGUCACCUUUAUUCUGUGCGCUAAUUCAAGUGAUGCUGCUCCUGAUACACGCUAAUGGGUAUUGAGUCCUAUAAGAUCAUCAAUUUUGCUCCAAGUCUACUGCAAAUCAUAGUAUCAGAUCAAGUUGAAUUUCCAGUGCGUCAAGCAGCUGCCAUUUACCUGAAGAACAUGGUGACACAGUACUGGCCGGACCGUGAACCACCUCCUGGAGAAGCAAUAUUUCCAUUCAACAUUCAUGAAAAUGAUCGUCAGCAGAUUCGUGAUAACAUUGUAGAAGGAAUAAUUCGUUCUCCUGACUUAGUGAGAGCCCAGCUGACAAUGUGCCUCCGUGCUAUCAUUAAACAUGACUUUCCUGGUCAUUGGACAGCCGUGGUAGACAAGAUAGGCUACUACUUGCAGUCUCAGAACAGUGGGAGUUGGCUUGGGAGCCUCCUGUGCCUGUAUCAGCUGGUGAAGACUUACGAAUACAAAAAAGCAGAGGAGCGAGAUCCUCUCAUAGCAGCAAUGCAAAUAUUUUUGCCUCGGAUUCAGCAGCAGAUGAUCCAGCUUCUGCCUGAUAACUCCCAUUACUCUGUACUGCUUCAGAAACAAAUCUUAAAAAUCUUCUAUGCUCUUGUUCAGUAUGCAUUGCCACUCCAGUUGGUGAAUAACCAGACUAUGACUCAGUGGAUGGAGAUCUUCCGUACUAUCAUUGACAGAAAUGUACCUCCGGAGACUUUGCAAAUUGAUGAAGAUGAUAGACCAGAGCUGGUGUGGUGGAAAUGCAAGAAGUGGGCAUUGCAUAUAGUAGCUCGUCUUUUUGAACGGUAUGGAAGUCCUGGAAAUGUGACUAAAGAAUACUUUGAAUUCUCAGAGUUUUUUUUAAAAACGUACGCUGUGGGCAUACAACAGGUUCUCUUAAGAAUCUUAGACCAAUACAGGCAAAAAGACUAUGUUGCGCCACGUGUUCUUCAGCAAACGUUAAAUUAUCUGAACCAAGGGGUUAUUCACUCUGUAACGUGGAAGCAAAUGAAGCCACACAUACAGAGUAUAACAGAAGAAGUGAUAUUCUCUCUAAUGUGCUACAAAGAUGAGGACGAAGAGCUCUGGCAAGAGGAUCCAUAUGAAUAUAUCCGCAUGAAAUUUGAUGUAUUUGAGGAUUAUGCAUCAACUACAACAGCAGCACAGAAUCUCCUUUAUACUGCUGCGAAGAAGAGAAAAGAGGUAUUACCAAAAAUGAUGGCAUAUUGCUACCAGAUUCUGACAGAGCCAAAUAUUGAUCCAAGGAAAAAAGAUGGAGCUCUGCAUGUUAUAGGGUCACUAGCAGAUAUUUUACUGAAGAAGAGUGUCUUCAAAGAUCAAAUGGAGCUGAUGUUACAGAAUCAUGUAUUUCCAUUGUUCAUGUCUAACCUGGGGUACCUCAGAGCUAGAUCCUGUUGGGUACUUCAUUCAUUCAGUGCUUUGAAAUUUCACAAUGAGCUAAACUUGAGGAACGCAGUAGAGUUGGCAAAGAAGAGCCUGAUUGAUGAUAAGGAAAUGCCUGUCAAAGUAGAAGCGGCCAUAGCUCUUCAGACGUUAAUCAGCAACCAAGAGCAAGCCAAGGAGUAUGUAAAACCUUAUGUGAGGCCAGUUAUGCAAGAGCUCUUGCACAUUGUUAGAGAGACGGAAAAUGAUGAUCUUACUAAUGUAAUCCAGAAGAUGAUCUGUGAGUACAGUCAGGAAGUAGCUACUAUCGCCGUUGACAUGACUCAACACCUGGCUGAAAUAUUUGGUAAAGUACUUCAGAGUGAGGAAUAUGAGGAAGUAGAGGACAAAACGGUCAUGGCCAUGGGCAUCUUGCACACAAUUGACACCAUCCUGACAGUUGUGGAAGAUCACAAGGAGAUAACUCAACAGCUUGAGAGCAUUUGUUUACAGAUCAUUGGCCUUGUUUUGCAGAAACACGUUAUAGAGUUUUACGAAGAAAUUCUUUCCUUGGCCUACAGCUUGACAUGCCAGAUGAUUUCACCUCAAAUGUGGCAGCUUUUAGGUGUUCUGUAUGAGGUUUUCCAGCAGGAUUGCUUUGAGUACUUUGCAGAUAUGAUGCCUCUCUUGCAUAAUUAUGUGACCAUUGACACUGAUACUUUACUGUCUAACCCAAAGCAUUUAGAAAUCAUUUAUGCGAUGUGUAAAAAGGUACUAACAGGAGAUGCAGGAGAAGAUGCAGAGUGCCAUGCAGCCAAACUCCUAGAAGUAAUUGUUCUUCAAUGCAAAGGACGGGGUAUUGACCAGUGUAUUCCACUCUUUGUGGAGGCUGUUCUGGAGCGGUUAACUAGAGGAGUUAAAACAAGCGAGCUUCGUACCAUGUGUCUUCAGGUUGCCAUAGCUGCACUCUACUACAAUCCUGACCUACUUCUGCACACCUUAGAGAACAUCAGAUUUCCACACAAUCCUGAGCCCAUCACCGCACAGUUUAUAAACCAGUGGAUGAAUGACACAGACUGUUUUCUUGGACUCCAUGACAGAAAGAUGUGUAUAAUAGGACUGAGCAUCCUAAUGGAAUUGCAGAACCGACCGCCUGCAGUGGAUGCUGUGGCUGCUCAGAUUGUCCCUUCAAUCCUCCUCCUCUUCCUGGGCUUAAAACAAGUUUGCGCCUCACGAGAACUCACAGAACAUGAGGAUCAUGCUAAAGAUGAAAAACACGUUGCAGAAGAUAAUGAAGAGAUACCAAGUGAUGAGGAGGAGACAAAUGAAGUGAGUCAGGCGAUGCAAGAGAACCAUGGAGGAGGAGGAGGUGAUGGUGGUGGAGGUGGAGAUGAAGAGGAUGAAGAUGAUGAUGAUGAUGACUGGGAUGAAGACGCAUUGGAAGAGACUGCUCUUGAAGGGUUCAGCACACCUCUUGACCUUGAAAAUGGUGUUGAUGAAUACCAGUUUUUUACACAAGCACUUUUAGCGGUGCAGAGCCGAGAUGCAGCCUGGUACCAUUCACUGACAGCACCAUUGAGUGAGGAUCAGAAGAAGCAGCUGCAGGAAAUAUAUACAUUAGCAGAACACCGGCGAAAUGCUGCAGAGACUAAGACUAUAGAACAACAAAGUGGCUACACAUUUGACAACAAAGGACUGAUCACAGCAUUUAACUUUGCUGGAAGUACUCCUGGUGGCAACUGAAGGAUCAACUACAAAGGUCAAUGGGAAGGGUCUCAUCAUUACAUUUUCUUGAAAUCAUCGUGACUUCUGAGUGACAGGGGAGGGUAAUUUAAUGCUGCUGAAGGUUUUCUGGAAAAUAGCAGUGUGCUUCCCCCACCAGAAUGCUCUUUCUAACCAGCUACUGUAAUGUACAAAUUCUUGUGGUGUUUUUAUAAUUUGAUGGACUGAAAGGAAACGUUUGUCCUCAAGGAACCUGAAUAACUGGGAGGGGCCAGGCUGCAUCUAAUUGAGUUGCACUUCUCAGGUUUUUGCUGUGCAGAAUUGAUGAUUCAUAUGGAUAACAGUGCCUUCUGUUGUACAUGGAUUGCCUGAACAAAUGGAUUUUGGAGUGCAUUAUAGUUUUUUAAGUGUAAGGACAUUUCUUGAUACACUGUAAGCCUUGGUUCCAUGUUUUCCAGAGUCACCUGCUUUUUACUACUUGGAUUAAUUGUUUGUUGGUUGCAUACACGUUGCUGGAUUCAGGCUAUUAUCUCAUCUUCCCCAUUUGGUGCAGACCAAAUGUGUAGAGGGAGGUGCCUGUUGGAGUUGUAAAGCAUACACUGGUUACGUCAAAGGGUUUCAACAAAAUUGCAGAUUUUCCCUUGAUGCAGUAGUCUUAAAUUAUUUCUCUUAGCCAUGAAAUCAACUCGUUGAGUUAUGGUGGCGUGCAUGGCAGGUGGCUACCCUAAAUCUGCGUUGAUAAUACUUCCUGCCUGGACAAGUGGUGUGGCCCUCACAUGUAGAUGUUCUACAUGACAACUUUUUUAUUUCCACUAUUUUUGAGGAAUAUUGGAUUUUACUUGGGAUUCUAUAAACGUCUUUCCUGGUUUUAUUCAUUCAUUACCAUUCCAGUGGUAGUACUGAAUAAUGUGGUACAAAAUAUUUACAAUAUUUUAUUUAUCUUGAUAGAAGAAAAAGAGCUCCAAACUUAUUUCUUCUUACUCUUACACUUCUGUGAUUGAAUUUCUGGUCUGCAUUCCAUUUGGCUGUUCUUGUCCCAUGCCGAAAUUUCAUUAUCUGCCAGAUUUUUUCCUAAAUUUCCAAGACUGGUUUCUCAUAAAUUGAAACAUGUAUAACAAGGUGUUUGUGAAUAUGCUCAUUUAGUGAGAAAACUGAUAGCAGUACUAAUUUGAAUAGGUGCCCCUCCUUUAGAUCUAUUGGCAUCGCAGUGGUGUAGCCAAAAUAAGUAGGGGUGCUUUCGAAUGUGAAGCUUGGGUUGGAGAUAAAAUGUUUAGACCAGAUUUUGUCUCUAUGUGUUAAUUUCUUUAUGACUUAAAAUAUUUACUGAGCAAUUUUAAGCACAUACUGAUAAUGUAUUUCUUCAGAGCAGUGCCCCAACUGAAAAGUUGAAGCUCUUCCCAUACCCCAUCAACUUUUCGAUGACUGUAGUGAAUUACAGAUUGCUGGCCCUGCACUGUGCUGAAGCUUUCAUUUUUUAUAUGUCAGAGUAAUUAUAAUUCAGUCUGAUAAAUCUGAAGCGCUCGACGCCUUAGCUUCUGGAAAAGGCCAAAGUGGCUCUGCCUGUUCCUUGCCCCAGCCCCUGGAAUUUUCUCAGCCUGGCAGCUGUGGGGCAGCUGCCUCUGCUUUCAUUUUUUAUGCAUCUUUGUGUCAGACUCUGUCUCUGGUGCUGUUCGCUGCUGCUGCUUUCCCUCCCCGCCACCCCAACGCAGCUGCAGACUAAAGUUGGCCUGGUUCAUGUAGGUUUUUCACUGCUGCUACUCACUUAAUAGCAACAGUGAAAAUUUCUCACUUUUAGGUUUGUUGUAUGUAUGGAAGACUGAGAAUACCAGGGCCUGUAUUUCCAAAAGGGAACAAUACAUUUAGCUGCAUUAGACAGGCUUUUUAAGCUCAAGCAGCAGAGGACUGGGACAUCCUUUAUUUUGAACAUCAGGCCAUGAAAAUUAUAGGUCAGUUUUGCUAAUUAAGGCCUGGGGCUGUAUUGACUGAGAUGGUAGGAAGGCAUGACAUCCAGUUUGUUGGUGAGUUUCUCAGAAAGCAUAGAAGUUUUGAGAUCCUUCAUGAAUUUAAGAAAUGUUUUUUGGAAGUUAAGGCCAUGGACCUCUUUUACCUGACAAUUGAGGUUAAGUAUUAGGCAGGUAAACUGUUUAAGCCCUGUAUUAUUUUAUUUAAAAAAAUGAGAAUGUCAAGUUGGGUUUCUUUCAAAGCCUCUUUGCCUUCUCUACACUGGCAUGCAGAGUAAGAAGAGGGAUUUAUUUCUCUUCUGCUAAUGAGGUUGCUUGCACAGUCACAAGCUAAUAGCUAGGAGUUAAUGUGUUCAAGGAAAAAUCUGCUUUUGCGUAGCAUCAUCUUUGUGUCACUCAGCUGAACUAUGGCUGCUCCCUAGUUCUGCUUCUUGUAUACUUUUCAAAUCAACUGCCAAGAAAAUUUCAUCCAGAUGUUUCUUACAAGGGGUUUAAUCAGCAGCAUGGAGUCGGGAAUCUUUGUUGUCUGUUUUGCAGUGGGGGUUAGAGAUGUCUGAGGGGAUGGCAUGUAAAAAGGUUAAAUGCCCUUCCCUUCCCAGGAGAUUCAUGAGCAAAUGUUUCUACUGGCAAAAGCAAAUGUUAAUUAUUUUAUUCCUUUUUUUGAAAAGGGUUUUCAUCCAAAAAGAUUUAUUGGGCUCUAGCCUCCACUUUAGCAUAUGGUUCUCUUUUAACAUGAUAAAUAUCCGUUUGUACAUGAUCAUAAAUAGGUAAUGGAUUUUAGGGAUUUCUUUCUGAGCUGUGUCCAGCUUUGUACUACAUUAAAGGGAGAGUAACACAAAUGUGCAUUACUGUCUCACUUUGAAGCCAAGGUAACCAUGGAAUAUCAGAUACUGUCAUCGGCCAACAAGCAUGAUGUAUUUGCCAUUGAAAGUACAGAGAAUCAUGAAUGUAUUGUAAAAUAAAACAAAGGCAGAUAACUGGUGACCUAUGUUGCCUCAUGCCCAAGUUCCCAAAGUGUGAAGGUGACUUGUAUGGGCACCAUGGGGGCUUUACAUAGGAAAUUAGCAUUAUGUAGGUUAUAAUCAUAGUAAAUGUUAACUUACAUGAUAAGCUGCUUUUUCAGGUAAAAUUAACUGAUCCUGGGUAUUGAAUUGCGUAUGCUGUUUUGUCACUCUUGAAAGGAAAAUAAGAAUUGCCACAUGUUUUGCCUGCUUCUCUUCGCUCUCUCUCUCUUUCAAAAUUGAAGUACUUGGUUUGCUUUCAUUACAAAGCAAAAUCUUGAAUCAAAAUGGCCAGCUCCAGGAGCAUGCAGAAUAUCAAGCUAAGGACAAAGCUGAAAAACCCCAAACCCCAACAGUCCCCCAAAACCCACAUGUGCACAAUCUGAUUGAAAUAAAUGUGCUUUGGGAGUGUAAGUCAAAAUAUGUGAAGAAUGUUACACAAAAUGAUAUCGUGAGAUUCUUUGCUUUAGGAUGAAAGGCAGCCUGCGGGGUGUCAGGGAGACGUGAAUGAACUGCUUUAGGACAUGCCCUUUGCGUGUGAAGUCCAGGCAGUUUGUGACUCUGGAUUCCAUCAUACAUUGCAGAGGAGAGAAGGUAGGACGGUAGAGGAUUUUUUUUUUUUUAAUAAAGCAAGAGUCUUGUCUUGAGACUUCUGUGAGCCAAAGGAAUUGUAGACAACAUGAAUGAUUAAGUGUCUUCUGUUUCCAGAAUACUUUUCAGCUUUUUUUCUUCCCUUCUUUCCUUCCUUUUGCCAAUGACUAUGUUAUCAGAUGUUUCAGGGAAUAUUCAAAAUACCUGAAAAAGUAAAGCUUAAACAUUUUUUUUUAAAUCCUGUUGUUCUUGAAGCAAUGCAACCUGUCCAUUGCAUUUCUAUCUAUAGAACAAAGUCUCUCAUUUGACCUAUGCAGAUAAUACAGAACUACAAAAACCCCUCACUUGUGCCUGAGGUUUGAUUAACCUUUCUGUGAUUUAUUUCUUAAUAUGGGUACUUUGAAAUCCUCACAUCUUGUACUGAAAUUUGCUCCAAGGAUAGGCAAACACGCACUAUGUAAUGGAGUACCCAGUCCUAGUUCUGAGAUAUGCCCUAGUCAAUCUUUUGAUAAUGUUUGACAGUCUGGUGGUCAGUUCCUCAAGGAUCUGCAUCUCCAUUUGAUGGCAUUCUUCUAGUCCAAGAGAUUCUGUAUCUUUGCAGGUGGACAGAGAAUCCUAUUUCCUCAUCACAGCAAAGCAUACAGCAGGCAUGGCUAUCAACUUCUUGAUCUUAUGAGUGAAAAUAGCACUCUUUUCUCUUGGGUGUCAAACCUAAUCCCAAAUGGAUGGGAUGCAGCAGAGAUGGAUGUUCCCGGCGCGUUAAAGGAAGCCAGACAGUAUUCCAGAUACCAGAAGGUCUUAACAUAAAGCCAUAUCAUAAAGAGGGCUUGUGAAGGCAACUAUUCACACGCAGGCUUUGCCUGCGAAAGAACAUAAGCGACGUUUGAUGUCAGUGAGAUCGUCAUGGAUCAUCCAAAUACAAUUCUCAAAAUAUCAAACUAGUGAAGAUGGUCAUCUUGCAGUCCUGAGAGAGAGGGGAUUGCACCAGCGCUUGGGCCAGUCCCCUCUGCCUGGAAUUCAUAAGGAAGACGAUAGUUUCACCAAGCCUCCACAGGACGAGAGAUUAAUCCCGCUGAAACUGCAAGCCUGCUGUUUGUAGCAGUGGAGUACUUCCCUGGCGGUGAGUUGCUGCUGUAGCCUGUUUGCUGAGUUGCGCUGAUUGAUAACGCUUGCCCUCUUCUGUACGGGGCACUUUUGCGAAUCCUCCACAGCAUCUCCAAGAGCAGAGGUUACUGGCCCAUUUUUAUAACUGGGGAGGUUGAGUUAGUGCACUUUGCCCAAAGCCAUAGCAGUGUGUUGCAGCUGGCAUGAGGAACUAAAAUUCUGGCUCUGUAGAAGCGCCUGGGAGUUUUGCCAUUGGCUCUAAUGGAGCCAGGAUUUCACCCAAGAAAUUUGCUAGGUCCUAGUGUUUGGAUCACUGCUAAUACCUUCCAGAGAAGCUUUGCCAGAACACACUUAACAUAUGAAAUUGCUUAGUAACAGUGAGUUCCGCUGUUGAACUGCAAUUUUAAUCUGUCUAGCAGUGACAUUGUUUAAUUGUAUCUCGUGUGGGUUGACUUAGGUAUGACAAGAUCUUCUGUAGAAAAAUGGUUCUCAGCUAGGUGAUGAUUGACGCCCCGAUUGUUAAUUCCUCUUGAGGCUUUGAAGUGAGCCUGAUGACGUGGGAGCAGAACUCCAGGUGACCCGCUGUAUCACCUAUACCAUGUAUCGGGGUGUUGGGAAGCUUACAGCCUCUCCGCAGGUAUUAACAAACAUGCUGGAUUGGUUGUGAAGUUGUAGGUUGUGAUUGCCGCUUUUAACGGGCUCUGAAGAGUAUUUUUUUCUGAAGUAAAUAUAUGGCUCCUGUGCCGCCUCCUGCCCUCUGACAGAGCGUCGAUCUUCUUUUAGCUAGAAUCGCAUUCUUAAGCUGAAUUCUAAUUCCAAAUAUCUUAAAAUGGUAAUUUCUUUUGGUCGGUCCCCAGCAAGGGUGAAAGAUGAUCAGAAUUUGCUUUCUCUUGUUACCAGGUAUGUUAAAUGAAUAAUAUAAAUAAUUUAAUUACCUCUUUGAUUAAAUCACUGAGACUUCAACCAAUCCCAUGCAGUUUCCUACUGAUUUUAUGUUUAUUUUCUGGCAGAGCUCAAGCUUCAUGGAUUUGUGUGCACAUCAGGAAAACUCUCCGUAGUCAUAUAAAUGAGAUUCAGUGUAAAACACAGAGUCUGGAAAGGUCAUACGAGUAUGUGAAUAAUGGAUGUUUUCUUUUUUAUUAAAGAUAUUGGCCUUCUAUCUCUCAGCACCUUGUAGAGCAGAGAAUGCAACUGCAACAAAUAAGGGUGCCUUAAGCAGCUUCCAAGUCUCCCUACUCUAUUAAAUAUAAAUAAUCCAUACUGUCCUUUUUAGCACAGCAUGCCUUGCCUUGCAGCUGGCUGCCUCGGCAGGUUGUUGUGCAGAGCGCAAUAACGGAGCCAAACGGCUGCACCUUGGUGUAGGGAUUUGACCACAGCUGUGGGGCUGGCACUCGGACCUGGGCAGCACUUGUGGCUGCGCUCUGGAAGAGCUACGUCUGCAUGGAGAAAGCAUACCCUGCGUCGCGUUUUCCUCCUGCCCUAAGUGUCUUUCUGGAGGAUGCAGGGGGUUAAGCAAAACCGCGAGAGUAAUCAGAGAACGCUGCAGUGCAUUUGACGGUGCCCUGAACAGAACCAGCUAUCACCAUCCAUUCCUAUGUAUAGACCACUCAGAAAUGUGUCAGCCUGAAGUGAGAUUAAACAGAUACUCGGAGUCUAGUUCCUCAGUACAACAAGGUGUUGAAUUCUGCCAAACAAGAAUCUGCUCGGUUCGGGUGAGCAGCAUGAUUAGCUCAAUUUGUAUUCUUGUUUUGAAGAAAGACUGAUGGAAUCUGUCUGCAUAAUUGUUUAGGGAAAAAGCCCAACCUGGCCAAGAGAGAUUCCAGGCACAAGAAGUCCCCCGAGCAUUGAUUUCACUGGAAGAGCAAGCAUGGAAAUUGCUCCAAGGAAGAGUUCCUACUCCUGAUGUUCAGUUACAGAAUAUUUUUCCCUUUAUGUUGUUAAUCAAACAGUUUACUGAUCUCGUGAAGGUAGGACUAAGGUAAGGAGGUUGCUAAUGGUUUCCCAUUGUGUUCCUCUGAUCCGUACAUAUGGCUGGUUUCAGAACCCAGAGCCGUCUGAGCCACCAGGCUGGAGGAUCCAAAGGACUUUCCUGGCUGCCAAAGGUCGUUCUGUCAAGAGGGGAGAAUUCUGCCCAGUCUCAGGCUGCCUCAGUUCUUGUGGUGGCUUCUUCCCAACUGUUGCAAAGAUGCAUUUGAUUAUUUAAUGCGAUUUUCUAUUACUUAGUGAUUGAUAUUCUUCUAAUAAAAUACACAUACUGAAA